ensembl:rRNA 5S_rRNA 5S ribosomal RNA
GCCAGCAGCCAUAUCACCCUGUAGCUCACAACGGGCAACCCACUGAAGCCAAACAGGUAUGAGCCUGGUCAGUACCUGGAUGGGAGACCUCCUGGGAAAAACUAAGGUUGCUGCUGGAA